CAAGGCUUCUCCUCAGGCAAAAGGUAAGCUUUCUGGCUUAUUUUCUGUGCUUUUCUUGAUUUCUAUUUGUCCUUGUAAUUAGCGUUUAUAUGUUUGUUCUUUGAACAUAGACAGCGAAACUUAUGCAGCCAAUGCAUUACUGUCCAGCAAGAAUUUGAAAUCAUAUGAAUUUGCAAUUUCUCAUUAAAAUAAAACUUUUUGUUUCCUUAGUCCCGGACCAUCAAUUAUUCCAACAUAACUAUUUCUUUGCCUUUUUGUUUUUACUUACUUUUGCAGAAAAGAAUUGCUCCAUCUGCAG
rnacentral:misc_RNA from 1 species